rnacentral:lncRNA from 1 species
ACAAGCUUCAUCAGACCUUCUCUCUCUCCUUCUCUCUCUCAGGCGACUCAAGAACAUCAACCACCUUCUCUUUCGGGCGACUCAGAAUCAGAGUCAGAAGCUUAAAUGGGCUCAAGGGAAAGCGGGUGAGAAUCGGGUACAUGUUUUGGAGGAGCACGGGUGAGUUUUCGUGGGGAUUUAUGAUGGGUUUAACGGUCCGGAUUCACCGGAUUAUCUGUUGUCGAAUUUGUAUCCUGCUGUCGGUCUUCUUCAUUUGAGUUCUCCCAUGGAGAAAUCUGAUGAACUUCUCCUGCGAGUUCUAAAGUCGUUGCCAUUAGGUUUCUACUCAGGUUUUCCCUAAGAUGGUUGAAGAUGGAUUUCCAAGCCCUAACGUUGUCACAAUCGGAAUCAUGCCGAUUUGUACUUUUUAUUGGUAUUAAUCUUUAUGGGUAUUCUUUAAGGUGUUUUUGUUUUGAUUCCCAAGCCCUAAGUUAGUUAUUUUAUUGUGUUUUGAUUGUAUGAAUCAAACAAUGUUAAUGUUGUUAUGUUUAUAUCGAGCUUUAGAGAUCUGCAAGUGUUUCCGAGAUCCCUCAAUGCGUUACGAGUGGCUUUGUAUUUGGCACACACAUUAGACCACGACUGCAACAAAGUGCGGUUUCUGUACCCCGACUACUUUAAUGCUUACAAAAUCUUGCUUAAUAAGGUAGCUACACGAUCUUAGAGGUGACGAGAUGGACUGUUGGUUGUGGUUUGUCGUUCUGCGUUAUUAUCUUUGCUGGGGUAGGUCUUUGGUUUGAUGGAAGCCCUGUGCUCAGAUUGAAGAUAUGUGAUUUUGGUUACUCAAUGGUAAGCAUUAAUUUACUUCUUAUAAUCUUGAGAACUAUUAUAUUGUUCUUAAAAGCUGUAUAUUAGAGGACUUAGCAAAGGGUGUUAAUUUAGUUCAUAUCCCAAGGAAUCUUUUAGACGACUUGCGUUUUUAUUUGAAGUAAAGUGUGUCUUCAACAACUAUGAACAUGCAUUUAUAUGUGAUGUUAAUAGUCCAUUUAAAAAAAAUCGAUAGAGAGAAGUUUGUUUGCCGCAGGAAGGUCUCAAAAGAACAAUUUAAUCUGAAACUUUUCUUAAAAUAAAGGGGCUUCCAAAAUUAUAGUAUAUAGUGAAUUGGUAUAUUUAUUAGGACCAUAAGUGUUAUGAGUUGCAACUGUUAGAGUUAAUCUAUGUUAGCGAUGAAAGAUAUUAAAAAUAUAAGUGAGGUCUGGUACAGGUUAGGGUGGGUUUUAAAAAGUCGGCAUUUUGGUUUGUGUUAAAACGAGUUUUAUUAAAAUGGAUGGGUCGAAAUGGCUUUUUUUUAAUAAAAAUGUAUUAGAUAACUAGAAAUAAUAAUUAUGACCAUAUUUAUUGUUGUCGAAAUGAGUGACGAGGGUUGUUGGUGCAUACAUCUGUCGUCUUCGUCUUAUAUCGAGUCUCGGUUUCGGUGCGGAUCUGAACAAGCGUGACAUCAUAUAUGUGACAUCACAUAUAUGACAUCACAUAUUGCAGCCAAGGUGGCAGCUAAAGCAUAUGAACUUGGUGAGCCCUCUAUUCAUACAGUCUGGGCCAACAAAACCAACAAACCAAACCAGACCGUCGACCGUUGGUUUUUGGUGCUUGAGAUUUUAAAAGACCCGCUCAUGGUUAUCAAGUUUUUCAAUUUUUUAUUCCAUUAAAAUUAAUUCACACACAAGGAGCAAUAUCUACACCAAUCUUAUAAAUGUAGCUUUAUAAAAGGAUUUUCAAUUUUCAAACUUUGAUGGCCAACCUGAUGAAGACACUUUUUUUGGGGUAAAAUUUCAUCAUCACAAGGUAUCAUGUGCACAUUUGUUGUAAACCAAACUUCAUGAAUUUAUCCAUUUUGUUUUUGUAUUUAUAAAUAACAAAUGAGCUGGGUUGGGUUAACCAAAACACCAUUUUACCUUUUUUUUUGUUUUUUUAGCUUGAACCUGAGCUCAAUGUAAGACUUGAGUGAGCUCGAGUUGCUCAAUUCAACCUUGACUUGUAUGCAAGAAUGUGCUCUCGAAUGGGAUGACAACCGUGAUAACCCCUGGUCUUAAAGUCAAGCUUUCAACUAUUCAGUCAAAGUCAACAUCUUUGACUAUGCCCAGAUUUGAAGUUCAGUGACUAGGUACUAGAGUUAGGAGAGCUUUGGAUGGUUGGUUAAUGAGUCUGAUAGUUUGUAUAGUUUGCUAUAUUAGAUCUAUUUGUGCUUUUCAAGAGCCUUGCUGCUGUAGAAACCAUUUUUGUUACAUGGCUUUUGAAGGGUACACAUUCUAUGAGCCUUGCUGUUAAAGUAAAUUUACAUUUUGCGGCUGGCCCCAAUAAAGGAGACACAAGCCAUUGCGAGAUCUGUGGCCGGAGCCUUGAUGCUUUUUUUUUGUUCACUUGGUUGCAAGCUGCUAAACAUGAGAACGAAGCUGAACCGAAGAAGAUCUGCAUCCAAUUUUUGCUGAAUGGGGACCACUUCGUCAUGUCCGUGUUAUCAUGGAGUGAAAUUUCGGUGUUUCCGGUGGAUUCGCAUUUAUAGAUUUCCCGACCACGGGGUCUGCACGCUCGAUGAUGGAUAAAGUUGGAGAUGAGGGUCUUCUUGUUGAUGGUAGGAAGCUAUUUUUUGAGUAUAGUAAGCCAGCUGGAGGAGCCGGUGGACCUUUCUUCGGGUCAGACGGGUCAUCGAGGGCGGGUCAUAUGAACCACUGAAGCACAAUGCUUCUUCCGGAUUGGAUGUGCACAAUAUGUGGCUGCGUUAAUUUUGCUAGGAGGACAUCAUGUUUUCAGUGUAACGAACCUAGGACAGACAAUGCUCCUCUUGCUGACAUAGCAUCAUCAAAUCAUGCUUCAUUUGAGUAUGGCUGACCGUAUAAUCGUGAUGAGAACUUCACUUAGGGAAAACAUCGAGAAGUUGGGCUCUCCGUUAUCAUGGGAACACAUAACUAAUCAGAUUGGCAUGUUCUGCUAUAGUGGAAUGACUCCUGAACAAGUUGAUCGCUUGACAAAAGAGUUUUACAUUUACAUUGUUGUAGCGGGCCAUGCUUAUUGUUCUAAUUGUUGUAGCUGGCCAAGCUUAUUGUUUUGCUAAUUGUUAUGACAGGACAUAAAAAGUGUAUACGGGUCACUGUUAAAGCUGCUUACAAUUGUUUUUCUGAAUACAUGUUAUGGGUAGUUGUAACGGGCCAGGUAACGGGUCAAAAAAAGCUCUGGUCAAAACGGGCCAUUUUAGUACGGGUCAAAACAGUGUAGGCUGACCUUUGAGCACUUUUUUACAGUGUAGGUUGACCUACCAUCAUUUAUUUCCUCACUUCACCCCCUCAACGUCUUCAUUUAUGCAGAACUUGUGGUUAACUCCGAGUUUGUGAAUCUAUGAAAAGAAAAAAUGGAAAAAAGUCUAAUAAGAGUGAGAAAUUGCACUGGAUACAAUCACGCUCGACAAAAGGUGGACUCGGAUACAAUCGACUUGGUGAUGGGAAUUUUUAAUGUUUGUUAUGAAACACCUUUGAGAAAACAAAUAGUCUUUUUGCAGACCGCAGAUGUUUGGUCCUCCCAUUCUAUCACAGAGGUUUGCAGAUGUGGUCCGCAGACGUUUUACCUCUGAAAAAACAAAUAGCACCUCAGUUAGAAACAACACAUUAUAUUUUGAAUAAAGAAAAUAGGAUACAUGAAUAAGUAUUUUAAACUAAGAAAUAUUAUAUGAAGGGUUGAAAUAAGAUAAGCGGGACAUCAAUAUUUACUCACAAAAUUCUAACACACCAGACAAUCAGU